rnacentral:snRNA from 1 species
CUAACUCCAAACAGCCUUUUGGCUUAGAUCAAGUGUAGUAUCUGUUCUUUUCAGUUUAAUAUCUGAAACGGUUCUAUUUGGGACCUUCUUAUAUUAAUCUUAUUUUUAAAGCUAGGGAAUUGGCCUCUGUGCUUGCACAUGUCGAUACCCACUGUGUCACUGGUAUUGUACUGCCUCCAGUUGAUGCGACCCACC